UUGGCAAGGGAGGAGCAAUAGGAACAAGGCAUUGCCAAUUCUGUGCCAAACCCUUUAUCUCAAGGAUCUCAGCAGCACUAUGGGACAGAUACUUUUACCCCCAUUUUAAAGAUGACGAAACUGAGUCUCUGAAGGGAGGCACGACAAACACACACACACACACACAGUCCCUGGGGACACGUUCAUACUGCAUGUGGCACAUCCUGGGACAUGCCGCCCCGUCGAAUUAGGACAGUGAGACGCUUGUCAUUUAGGAGACUUUUGCCUUUCUCUUUAGCCCAAGCUGUGUGAGGCUCUAUUCCUCUAUUUAGGCUUCGAUAGAAGUACGGAGAGGGAAAAAAGGAAAUGUGAUGCUUAAACAAAAUAGGCCAUCGAGCUGACCACUAAACAGCACUUAGACCCCAAGUAUACACACAGCUGCUUUGUGUAAUGAAGGCUGUGGACCAUGUUCCUGGAUAUAAAAUAACAAACCACAUAUAACGUUUUACAUCGCUGGGUAAUUAGCAGGGAUCUGCGAGUGUGUGAGCCGACCGGGGUCAGGGGAGGGGGCUGGGUGUCUAGCACAGCGAGCUGCAGGGAAGAGCAGUGCUGUUGGGCUGGGAAGACGGGACUUUGAAUCCCUGCUGCCCCCUGUGUCGCCCUGAGAGCUUAGGCAACUGAUUUAAACUCUGUGAACUUCCAAUUUCAUUUCUGUCUAUGGGGAUAAAGUCUAUGCCUCCUGGCAAACAGUUUUGCCCUUCCGGCUCCUGCAGGAACCCUUGGCAAUAUCUGAAGACAUUUUGGAGUAUCACGAUCAGGGAGGGGCUCCUGGCCUCCAGGGGGCAGAGACCGGAUACUGUUAAACACGUUACAAUGCGCAGGACGGGUGGUCAAACAUCUUAGCAAUGCAUGGGACAGGUCCUACAACGAAGAAUUACCCUACCCGCAAUACCGGUCCUGCUGAGACUGGGACGUCCUGCCCUGCAGAGCGGCUGCCUCAAGGAAAUAAUCGAGACUGCCCUUCACUGAGCAUCUACUGUGCUUGGCAGUGCUCUCACUUUAUUUCAGUGUGUGGCCUCUUGCCUGUUCAGAGUACGUCGAAAAGGCAGGUACUGUUAUUAUCCUCGAUUUACAGAUGAGGAAACGGAGGCCCCAGACGUAUCCCAACCCCCCAGCCAAGUCAGUGGAGGAGCCAGGUUUGAACCAAGGCAGGAUGGCUCUGGAGGCUGCCACAUGGCUGAAUGGAACUCAUGCACCUGCUCCAGUGCCUGGCACGUGGCAGUGAUGGUGACGGUGAUGCCUGUAAAGAGGACGAGAGGACUCACUCUUUCGUUGAUGGGACAUCUGUAUCCAGUGUCCAGUCAGGACUUGGUGCUAAAGGAUUGGGAGCCAGGAUAGGCAGGGAUCUCUCGCGUGGGCUGUAUUUUCUAGUUCAUUUGCUUCUAGUUCUAGUUCCUCUAGAAGGACAAGAAUGAAGAUGUAGCCUAGAGCAGUGAGAUGAUGGAAGGGAUUGUGUGUGGUGGAUGCUGAGCGCUCUGCCAGGAGAGGGUCUGGGCAGAGGGAUCAGCCUGGGCACAGCCCAGAGGGAGGGAACCACCUUGGUGUGUCUAGAAAGAAGAGAACAUUCCAGAAACGCCUAACACGGGAGGGCAUACGUCCAUCGUGGCGCAAAAAUUUUUACAAAUACAUAAAAGCCGGUUCAGACUUUGCGAUGGAGGGUGGCGCCGUGGCAAGUGAAGAUUUCCAGGAGCCCAGUGAGGGCACGUGGGCAGUUGUCGCAGGGGCGAGUGUGGUGGUGGCUGCGUCCAGCGUGGGUGUGGUCCAGCUGGAGGAAAGUGGGCAGAUUUGGUUCGUACAGAGGGAAGCAUUUCGUGGCGCCUGUGAUGUGCAGAGUGAGGGGAGGGCGAUCAAGGGUAACGGAGGAUUUUGUCUGGAGAACGGGCUCCACCGGCUGAGACGGGGCGGCCCGGCAGCAGAGUUUCGAGGGAAUGGAGGCGCGGCAUCAGGAGUCCAUCUCUAGGUCAGGUUAGGGAUGACCUGCCGACGGGCGUCCGAGGGGAGGAGUUGAGCACAGGGCAUGUGAAUGAUCGAGGGGCUUUGGGGCUGGAAGCCUGCAUUUCAGCUCCGCUCCAUAGAGACGCUGCUUCAAGCCAGGGGCCUGUCUGAGAGAGAGAGACCUGGGAGCAUCCUCGGUCGAAGCCCAGGGGUCCUAAUCCUUUCAGGGUUGAGAGAAGCAUCCAUGAAAAUUGACCGAAGUAGACAAACGGAGAUAGAGAAAGUCUCUAAAACAAAAUAAACGGGGGGAGGGACCGCUACGUUGGACCACAGGGGGCUGACAGGCACCCUUUCAGAGGACUGCUGGGGGUGGAAGCUCAGUGAAAGGAGUUGAGAACAGAGAGGGGAGGACAAGAGGUGGGCACGGCCGGUUCAGGCAACUCUUGCCAACUUUUGCGGGAAAGAAGGGGAGCAGCGUAAGGAUGCAGGGUCAAUGGAGAGCCUGGAAAUCACAGUUACACGGUGUGUGUGAUCCGGCAGAGAGGAAGGGACUCAUGACCCCAGAGCAAGAGGGGUUCCGUGGAGGAGGCCCCGAGAAGUACUAGAAAGCCAGGGACAUGGGACCCAGAGACAAAGGAGGGACUCAGCCUUGUUGGGACAGUUCGUCUCUUAUUUCAGGGCGGGCAGCAAGGACAGGAAUGUUGUAGGUGAUUGAGAAAGCUGUUUGGAAAUCAUUCCUUCUCCUUUCUCCGAGAGGAGCAUCAGCACCCUGACCUGGGCCGCCGGUCAGCCGCUCGCCCUGACCACAGUCCGGACUGAGCUCUGGCCCCUAGACUGGAUCUGGGAUCCCAUCCACCCAUCUCUCCCCCGUUGUUUUAAGGGAUGACCGUGGAAGGCUCGAUGAAACCCGUCUCUGCAGCUAAAAAGACAGCUGGAAGCAACGUGAGGUUCAGCGGGAUUGAUCAGGGGACCAGGCGGGAUCAAGAGAUGAGGGCUGCCUUCAGGACAGUAUCAGGAAAGAGGAGUCCCCGCACCUGGAGCCAAGAGGGUUCCUAAGAGCAGAGCCAUUUGUGCAAAGUGUCUUUAAUAGGAGGAAGCCAAGAACUGAGACCAUCAAAAUGGGUCAAAAUUUGGGAUUCAUCAGAAUAAGGACAGAGUAAUUACAGACACUGUCAACAGAGAUGCCAGCAGAGUGAAGAGCGAGUGGCUUAAGUGGAGUUGUUGGGGGUUCAACUAAAUCUAGCUGAGUGCUUUGCAGCUUCUCCCUUUCUUAUGGGCCCUUGCAGGACCAGUGUCGUUUGUGCAAUUAGAUUUAUGUAUUGAUAAGGUGAUUAAGAGUUUAUAACCUUAGGAGUUCCC
rnacentral:lncRNA from 1 species